rnacentral:lncRNA from 1 species
GGUGACCGCAGCAGGUCAGGGUGGGGCGGGGGCGCACGGGCGCCGGCUCUCUCCACUCGUUCGGGAGCACGCGGGCGCCACUUACAUGCCUGGCUGGAGCUGUGGGGCGCUUCCUGGCGGCCAGCUGGCGGCCACCCAAGCGCAGAAGCACCAGAGCCACAGUCGCGAGGUCAUCUCAGCGAGGCCAAGCCGCUCCGGCCACCGCCCGAACUGCGCGCUGCGCGCCGCUCAGAAUCCGCCGAGUCCGAACCCGGCGCAGAAGUUGGGCUCGCCGGGCAGAAGUUGGAGUGCAGGGCUUGCGGGCCGGCGAGGUGCGUCUCCCUGAGGAGGGCGCGGCAGCGGCUCGGCCCCACCGGGCGUCACAGGCGGUUGGGAGCCCAGGAGGAGCGGCCAG